UUUCCGAUCUCACUGCACCGAACAGCAACAGGAAAAAACAAACCCUGAACACUAAGCUGCGCAGUCCUACAAAGCUAGCUUUAGUUCUCCGUUGUAUUUCAGGUUUACUGAAGGCAUUUUAAUCGACCAAAGCGAGCGCGUGGAACAACUGGGUCCCUUCACGGACGACGGCGGGAGGUUAAUGGAGAGACAUAAACACCACAGCUGGACAGAACAUUAUUCUGCCAUGUUGAGCUCCAAACUACAAUAUCACAAGUGUAGAGUGGAGCAGAGCUGACCUGGGAUCAGAAUAUGUGUUUGUUUCUCGGGAUGGGAUGUUUAUUCCAGAUGAGCAGCAUCCAUCUUUUAAGAACCGGGUGGAUCUGCAGGACAGACAGAUGAAGGAUGGAGACGUGUGUGAUUCUGAAGAAUGUGACGAUUAAUGACACUGGAACAUACGAGUGUCGUGUCAACGUUAGUGGAAGAAAUAAAGACCCCAUCAGCGUCAUCUACCUGAGAGUUGUUGAUCCUCCAGGUCAGACAGGAGGACACACAGAGGAUGGAGUCAGUAGAGGACGUCCUGGUCUGUCAGUUUUUGGUGUAAUUUGUGUUCUUAUCGCUUCUUUUGUGAUCUCUGGAAAAUUGAAAAACACAAAUUCCUCACUUCCUCCACCUGAACAACAGCAAGUCUAAAAAAAGAAGCUCUUCGCUUUUUUUUUUUUUUCUUUGUCUUCACACAAAGCAGUUUACUGUAACAGUACAGACAUGUCUUGGCAUUCCUGAAGAUGCAGCUUUAAAUAUGACCAAAACAAAGUGAUUCGUUAUUGCUACAUAAGUGGCUCUUAUACAGGACAUCAGUUUCAGUCAUGUGUCUCUGAAAUUUGCUCUGACAAAAUGAACAUGAGACUUUUGUCAGAUUCUGUUACUGUGUCAUCUCACAGGUUAAACUGAAGUCCUCUUGUAUGUUCAGCACUUUGGCAUACCACUGUUUUUAAAUGUGCUAUAUAAAUAAGGUUUGUUGUUGUUUUUGUAAUAAAUGUUGAGCUAACGUUCAUUAUUCUCUGUACUAUCAGGAGCCAAAUAAACGUCCCUCAGUGGAUAAUGGAACCAGG